AGGACGCGAGUUUGUAACAUAGCUGUAAACAUGAAAUUGGGGAGAAGUGGGCAAAAAGUUAAUGUUCAGCUAUCAAAGGAGUGGGCCAGUAAGUAGUGAAAAGACCAUUACACUGUCAUUAUACGUACCCAGAGUUUGGCUCCGUCUAGAAUCUGCCUUGUUACUGCAUCUCAAAGGAAAUAAAUGAUGUGGCCGUUGAGGGUGUUCAGCCAGGAGCAACAAGAAUGAACAAGGGCCUAGAAAAACUCUUCUGAAGAAAGACUGAAAUUCUUUGUCCUGGGGGACAUGAGAAAGUAGAACAAGGGCUCCUCUUUUCUCUUUCACGACACAAAACAUGAGGGCAUUUGCUGAAAUUUGUAAAAGUUGUAAAUUCAAAACAAAUGAAAAGAAAUCUUUUCACACUGUGUAUAAUCAACUGUGAAGCCAACUGCUACAGCAAAUUAUCAAGACUAAGAAAGUAAUACUAUUCAAAACAGUUGCACAUUUAUACGCAUAGCAAUAAAAUAGCUGGGGUUGUAACUACUGAUGAUAGAAAUAUUGGACUGCAUUUAAAUCUCUCUCUGUUGGGGACCAGGAUGAAAUGUGGGGGAUCGAUUGUCCCAGUUCUUGCACCUUCUGAAACAGCUGAUGCUGGUCACUGCCAGAGACAGAGCGGUGGGAUGAAGGGGCCUCAGAUAUGAGCCAGUAUGACCAUUCCUGUGUCAAGGAUGGGUCCCACAUUACUCAAUCUGCUGGUUAGACUUCUCUGAGCACACAGAAAAUGCUUCUAGCCAUAUUGGCUCAUGCCAAAUGGAGCAGGGGAGAUAAUGUGGUGAACUCAUACACUAGGCAAGAGUCAGAAAAUACACAGAAUUUAAUAUUUUUGCAUGUUGUGGAGAUGUGUGGAUCUGUAAAUCUGAUGGGAAGGAAGUAGCUUGGCAAAAGAUUUCAGUAGUCCAUCACCGUCUUCCAGAAAGCAUCGUUCCAACUAGUCACUGUUCUAAGGUACCACUGUUUAAUUCAGCAGGUCUGAGUCCUUUUCUCUGGUCCUCGUAGUGCAGAUGUGCAUAUGAUAUGCAUAGAAAUAUAAAUGUAUUUGAUCUCUGCGUGUGCCUAGCUGGUUAAAAAAAAAAAUAAAAAAUACUGGGUGUGAAUGCUAUACUUCCAAUGUACCUAAUAUGGACUAACGGGAGCUACUUUAAUUCCCAUCCACAUAAAUAACAAAACUGAAAGCAGCAAGGCAGCCUGGCUGUAAGCCUCCUUUAUCCAUGUCAGACGCACACCGACUUCUCUUCAUUCAUUUAGCCCCUUCUUGCUCUCUGACACUCCUCCCACUAGUUGCCAGGCAACUCUAGGAGUAUUGGUGUACACUGUCCCUGGAUGUGUGUGAAGGAUUAACUAGUUAAGGUUGGAGUUUUUAUAAAGCAAAAUACAAUUUCAGAUAGGUUUUCUGGGGAAUAACACCUGGCAUUAUGAAGGCCGGAUUUUGCACAUGAGAAAUGAAAAUCAGUUGAAAUGACAAGCACCUUGAAAUGCCUGUUCCCCCUUCUAGGGAGAACUGGUCUGAAUAAGUAAGAAAAACCAAAACAACUCAUUUCCCUGCCAUAUAAUGUGUCCAAUAAAAGAUAUCGCCCACAAAAAUUCUUCUCUCAAUUAAAACAACCCCGCACAUUCAGUUUGUGCAUCACUCCCAUCAUUGAGAAGUUCCCGCUGGUCAAGCAAUCAUAAACCAAAUUUUAGGGAUAAUUCAGUCUUAUCUGUGGGAUCAGGGAAUAGUGAAAGAUGGGGCUUAUCUUCCUAAAUCCCAUCCUACCUUAACUUAAACUUAGUACCAUUCCUCAUGCUGUAGCAAAUAUGGCAUACAAGGCAGUUUUUCCUACUAGAACGUUUUUCACUGGGAUGACCAAGUGCUGCGUUUAAACCUCACGCUUGUCAGGCCGUGUCCUGGCUCGCUGGACGUUGUUUCAUCUGCCGGGGAGUCUAAACAAUGCUGAAGGCCCGUAUCCCAUGUCCUUCCUUUAAAUGAAGCAAGCAGGGAAGAAGGUGGGGGUUCCAUACUGAAUACAUGUUGAGCCCCCUGUGUUUCAGUGGGACUUAAGAACAGCCCCUUAUUUUGUCUGUAGUGAAUACCAGAAAGAAGAAGGUAGUUCCCAGCUGAACUUACAGUCAAAUUGCAAACUGAUUGAUACCUUGGGUUGGGAAUGUUGCAUGCAGAUGCCUGUUUUUAGAGCAUACGCAGAAGAUGCAAGGGUGGAGUUCAGCUUUUUGUGAUGUGCUAUGGAAGUGUCUUCAGCUGUAGUCCAGGAGAGGCUUGGGGACUGGGAAAAAGCCUCCACCUGGGAGAACUCUUAUGGCAGAGCUGGGUAAUGAGAGGCUUAACUUUAAAACAUCUUACUUGAUUUUUAAAUCUGUCACUAAUUUAACAGUUUGAAAUCAAAUUAUUUUGAUGCGUUUAAAAGCAAAUGGGAAGAGCAGUUUCAAGGAAGAGGCCUGAUAAGAGAAUGAGAAAUAUUUCAGAUGCUUCAACCUCGUUGUCCUUUAAAUAUGGCCUUUUCCCAUAUUACUGCACCCUUCAGCACGUCAGCCUGUGUCUAGGCAGUAUUGGACAUGAUGUAGCUUAUCACAUCUGGAGUCGUUGGAGAGCCCAUCUCUUACAAAAUUGCAAUGUAUGGCUAAUAGUGAGUGCUAAUUAAGAAAAUAAUUGCAUAGGAAGAACUGCUUUUACUGCUUGGUGGUGUUAAUCUCAUAAGAAAAUUGAGUGGCAUAAAUUGGUACAUGAGGUGGUAAAAAAUGUGGGGGGGCAAACAAAGUAGAAUUGUGCUGGUAGGUUGUUGGCUUAUUUCAUUCAGCUUCUUUGGGGGCCAGAAUUGUCUUGCAUCAGAUGGCCGAAUGUUACAGUUAAAUGUAUGUGAAAUCCUCCGCCCAAAGACUGCACGGUUACAUACUGUAUAGGCUUUGGCUGCCACUUGGUUAUUGUUGUCUUGCAUGCUUUUUUUUCGUAAUAUAGAACUUUUAAUUUAAAAAAGUGUUUUAGAUUGAAGAAAUUGCAACUCUAAAUUUAAGCAUAAGAUGUAGCAAAAUUACUGAUGCAUUUACCCGUUUCUGUAACUGUUCAAAGUAGAAUCAUAAAACCACGGAAGAAUUUCUGUCACAUAUGGUAUGUAUAUACGGCUCAACACACUUCUGUUAAAUACAGUAAGGUAUACAGGAGGCGACAUGCUUACUUGGCUGUAUAGAGGCAGGUGUGUAGCUUUACAUAUGUUACCUAUGGCUUUUAAUUAAGCCUGCCUUUUGUGAACGGUAUGAUUGUUGUUUUAAAUUUCUAUAUUUUAAGCCUUUGUCUCUUAAGAGCAGAUGAGUUCACGUGCAUCUCUUAAACCUGCAAGUCAAAACUGGGUCAUUUGCAAUAGAAAUAAAUGUGUAAUUAGAAUAUUUAAAGCUACAUGUAUGUUGUACAUCACAUGUAUACAUUAAAAACAUGACAAAGUUAAGAUUUUUAAAUUUACCUCAUCAAAAAUGUUAACUAUGCUCUUUCUUAGGCUGACACCUAGUGGUUAGAGGUAGCAUCUCGCCCGUUUUCUUUCUCCUAUUUAGUCAACAAGCACAUUUUUAUUAAGAAACAUGUCUAAUAACCCCUGUGAGAGAGAGAAACUCAUUAGAUAAAAUCUGUGAAAAGGAAUAAUACUUGGGGCAUAGUGCAAUGAAAUAUAUGAAGUUUUUCAAUGAAUAUUGCUACUAUAGUUAGGCUUCCCCACAGGUAAGUGUUUAUUAAAGGCAGAGCGGUUUACCUGAGAAAUCAGACUCCAACAUGCUGUCUUUUCGGAGGGUUGGCAUCACUGUAUCUCCCAUUUCCAUGGGGACAGGAAUUUCAUUUCUUUCCCAUGCAAUUAAUUCCAUCACGUGUCCUAGCCUGUCACGUUUCAGUGUCUUCCUCCCUGGAAGGUGAUGGUAGCAGCUGACGAUCUCGCAUGGAGAAGUACCUUUGAUGUGUUUUCCUUUGUCCAUAAUAUCUUCUCCAGAAAUUUGGCAACUCUCCCCUGACCUCUUCCAUCAGAGUUCAGUGCGUUAAGUGGAGCCUUUUCUAGUUGAUGCAAGACCUGGCUUUAUCGGUGUCUUGUUUCAUAAAUCCUCAUUAGUAAUCUGAGCGAGUAUUCACCUUCUACAUCUUGGGUCCUACCAACUGCAUUUCAUUGGCAUUAAUGUAUCAUGAGUUGAAAGUUUCUGUGGCCCAGUUUUCUCCGGUGGUACCUAAUAUCUUUCAUGGAUAAUUUGAAAAAGGCUUGGCUUUCAAAUCCUGAGAAGCCUUUGAAAUCUAAUUGUAAGUAACCCUUUCUCUGAAGAUGAGUGUCCUCUUUAACCUUUGCUCCUUGUAUUUGGUACCCUAUGCAAUCACACCCAUUAGAUUUUGGAGUCUCACAAUGCUAUGUAGGCUUCAUAUGAGGAGGUAUGUGAAACACAACAGGAAGAUUUGGGGUAUACUUUCAUGGGGUAGUGUGUAGCAAUACCUAAGCAGCCUGGGAUACUUGAAGCGGUAUGGCUUGGCUGCAUUAGCAUGGCACGCUGGCCGGCCUGAUUUAGCCCUGCUUGAAAACAGGGUUUGUUGUUUGUGUGGCUGUACUGCCUCCCAGUACCUGAAGUCCUUAGGUGACUUUGCAUAGUGCUGCAUCGUGCUAGGGAGCCAAACUCCUAAGUGGGCUUUUUUGUCAGGCUCAGUGAUGGUGGAGCUGAAGCUGUCUAGUGUGCACUGAAUGAGGUCCAGAUCUUGAUGGUGCCCCUUUUUUGAGGGUCUGGCUGCUUCAGUACAAAUUUAGUAAUCCAGUUGUCAAGGUGAUGAACUUUGUUCUUGGCAAAAAGCUUCAUUGUUUCUUACCGUGUUGCUUAAUUCCAGUCUUUUCUCUCAUUUACAAAAUCUGUUUAAUCCUGAUGUUUGAAGGAUUGGGAGCACCCUGAACACAGUGCUGCUUGUUAGAAAGCAACCCUCUUCAGUACUCUCUUGUAACAUCUGUAGGUGCCUUCAGUAUAUGCCAGCCUAUAGCAUGUUGUCUCUAAUUUGUGACACCCUCCUUGAGGGUGUGAAAUGAUUAACAUCAUUAUCCUGUUGUUAAGGAGUUGAGGACUAUAUUCCUUCUCUUCAUUGGCUUGCAUUGUUUUCAUAAGGUCUGACUAAUCAAAUCCUUCACCCGUCUGCCCUCCCUGAUGGGCCUUUCUUUCCCAAACCGAUCAGAGUGUUUCCCUUGUUUCAAUCUAAUUCUUGUCCUGCCCAUUGGGAACAUUGCUGAUAACUUGGCAAGAAUAAUACUGUUCCCAAAUAAAAACAGGUUUGAAAACAGAAUGAUUGUAGUGGUGCAGAGAAAGAAAAUGGUUUCAGGGUACCCAUAGCUUACACAUUUUUGAAGUUGAAAGGAAGCUAAAAAAGGCUGAGUCAAAUAUUUCCUUAAUACGUUGCUAUUUUAUUUGUUGAGAGUUUUUUGGAAUCAAAAUCUUGACUCUGGCACUGCAUUGCCAAUAAUACAUGUCCCUUUUUUGUAGACCUCUUAAAAGCAUUAUGUUGUGGCUAGCCAAUUGCCCGCCAGAAACGAAGGGGGGGGGCAGAGCGCCACCACCCCGUGUCGCUGCCACCUCCCAGGAGCAGGCAGGGGGAAAGCUUGCCCCACUGUCCCCUCUGUCCCCCUCGGGCAGCACCCUGUGCUACUGCCGCCUCCAGGGAGCAGGGCCGGGGGGAGGGGAAGGGAGGUGAGGCCAGCAGCACUGGCCUUGCCUCCCCCCGCCAUCCUCCAUCCACUCCAUCACUGCUCCCUCCAGGGAGCAGGGCUAGGAGCGGGUACCCCCCGGCUCUGUCCCCACUUUCAUGGUGGUGCUCCACUGCGGUGCCGCCCCCUGUCCAGACCACUCUUGGAGCACUCGGCUUGCUUGUUUCAGUCAACAUUGUGAUUAUUUGCUGAGACAACCAAUCGGAGUGCAAAUAAAGCGUUACAGACAGACUAAGGCUUUUAUUAUAUUAGAUGUCUGCAGCAUCAGUAAAACUAUAGUAUUUUUCCCAAUUUUGAACUAGCCUCACCCAAUGGGUAUUAAAGUGCUAGGGAUGUGUACGAGGUGAUGCUGCUUUCAGUUUUGUUCAAAACCUAGAGGGGAGUCAGUUUUUCAAAGGAAAAAUGUAUAGGAAAUAGUUUUAUCGAAACAGUAUGAUAAUUUAUGCCACUUAUCAUUUAUCCAUAUAGUGAUUGUAAAGCUGCAUAAUACUGCUGAUUAAUUUUAAGACACAAUACUUUUAUGAUAUAGUAAAAAUGUCAGUGUAACCCUUGCUGUUUUAAAUUAAGAAUUCUGAAUAGAUAUCAGUGCAAACUUGAAUUCAUUGGGAAUGAAUUAUAACAAGUAAAUAUCUUUAAUGAAGCUUUAAUUAGUUUCCUUUGUGUCCUCGUUGUUGAUUAUUUGAUCUUACAGUGCUUUAUUGGCAUGAGCAAUCAUUUGUUGUGUAACUGGUUCAGUUAAGAGUAACUUAACAUUUCUGAAUUGAUUUGGGGUUGAAUUUAGCUUAAAUCCUCUCCAGAUAUAUCCAGCUGAAAGUAAAUACGAAAAUCUCAGUGGACAGAAGCAAAUGCACCUUUCCACUUCCACACACAUCAUGCGCUUUUCUUGAUGAAGUUAAUUGGUAAUUUAUGAGGCUUGACAGGAAAGAUUAUGUUCAGGUUUAUUUUUAAACCACCUACAAUAUUUCUUAAAGAUAGUGGACAAAUAUUAUUUGCCAGGUGCAGUGAAUAUCAGUGUCAUUAUUAUAACUUUAAUACUUCAACAUUUGGUAUGAAAAUAAUUAGAUUCACAAAAAUGGAAUAAAAUAAACAAUAGAAAAUGCCUCUGAUAUAUAUUAUCCAGUGUUCAAAUGACUUUUACUGAAUUAUGUAGUGUGUGUGAGUGUGUAUGCGCACACACGUGGGGGGAAGGGAGAGAGUUUUACCUCAGUAAUGGAAAUGCAUUUCUUUUCAUUCGCUAGUUGGGAGCAAAGACCUAAUUAGAUCUCAGCAAUAAGUUCCAAAUGUGCUCCACUUACUCUGUUUCUGUCAAGUACGUAUUUAAGAACUGACAUGUGGGGAAAAAAUCCUCGGACACGUCCCGCUUUGCAACGCAGUACAAAAACACACGAAGGAAAAGAGGGGAUGAUGACUCCUAUAAGGGAUGUAUCACAAAAUGAAGGUGUUUCCCAUUUUGCCCCUCCUCACUGUUUUCUGCCUGUGAGAAGAGUUCGCUUUGCUGCAGCAUUGUGAAGACAUUCCUGAAAGAUCUUGGUCGAGACUAAGUGUUUUGAAAGAGUCUCCCACUAUCCUUUAUUAAAUUAUUCGACAAGCGAUUAGUCUUGGUAAGAUAGCUCCUUCUUUGAACCACGGAUUGGAAUUCCUGUUGAUUUAAGGAGCUGUAGUAGGGCGUAAUGAAAGGAGUAAAUUUGCCCUGGUGUGACUUGUCUGCGGCCUAGGCUUGUUCCUGUGUGUGGGGAAGCCAUCGCUUUUUACCCCUGCAGAUGUUCACGAGCAGAUAAGGCAAAGGAAAGCCGUGCUCUGUUAUUUAGAUUGCAGUCUUCCAUGGAAAGCCCCUUGGAGUGGGCUGGCAAGGGGCAGCUUGGAGUCCUUUCCAACAGCUUCUUCAGUAUGGGUUUCAGCUUGGACCCUUGCAUCUCAGAGGACGCAGUGGGAAGCAUUAAGCCCCUGCAGACUAGUAGCAAUGGGUUUUCUUCCCCUCCAGCCUCUGGGCAGCAUCUCCACCUCUCCUGUCUAUUGUCUGCUAAAAGUCCUAUUAAAGGGAUUCCACAACAUGGGGGCCAAGAUCCAAGUUGACAGCAUCGGGCUCCUGCAGAUUUCCCACAGAGUUGGUCUGGGAUAUGGUCCACCUUCACCACCCCUUUCUCCCCCCACACACGUUGGUUCUUCAAGCUGCAAAAGGCUCUUAGAUGGUGUGAAGUGGAGGUGGCUGGCCCUCCUGUUUCCACCCAGAGGAAUAUUUCCCAACACAUUUAUUUAAUGGGACAUCUUGUCUUCAUUGCAAAUUGCUUUUGCCAAUCUUUUUGCUGUCAGAAGUUGCUUCCUGAUCUAAAUAGUUAAUAUUGUCUCUGAUUCUGUUACAGAAAUUAUAUAGUCUUAUCAGCAGGUUUCUCCCAGUCAUCAUCAUUAAAAUCUACAUGAACUUGUUUUAUGGAGCUUUAUUUGCAGUGUCUGUAGCAUAGACCCAUUAAUUUUAGCUACAGAUUUCGGUUACAAAUGGAAGUGAGAACAUCCUUUAAUGUUGAUAGCACACAUUGAACUUUGGAGAUGACUUGAUUUAAAUUUUUGAUUUUUCUGAGAAUACAGUUGCGCAGACAAACUGUACAUUUUACUCCUGACAGUAAAAGUUCAAAGCAACAUAUUUAGGAAGGCAGGGUUACAUUUUCAUUGUUUGUCCAGCACUUGGGACAGUUGAAUCUUUGGCAUUCCUGGGUGAUACCCACUAUGGGCAAUAGACACAGGCCAGUAUGUCCAUGCUCAGAAAGAUGUUAGAUCAGCAACAGUGUGGCAGGAAAUAAGACCAACAUCUUAGUCAAUUUAUAGCUGUCCCUUUUUUUCUAAAUCUUUAAUGGCAUCGGUAGCUAUUCACUUACGCUUCCGAAGCAAAGAGAUCUUAAAUGGGACAAAAAUCAAAGAGGAAUAACAAUGGAUAGCUCAGCACAGAAACAAACCAGCCAAAAGGGCAACUGUGUUGGAAUAUAUUUACGAGCAUGCUAAAAUGUGCACAUUAUAUACCGGUGCGUGCUUCUUCCUGAUGAGGCUCUGUAUGUCACAGCUACUUUAGCUACUAUGUGGUAUUGCAGUUGCCAUGGUGAGAUGUUUCUUAAGCAGUUCAAUAGAACAGUAAAUAGUUGUUUCAAACUCCCUCUAAUUGCUUCCCUACCCAAUGGCUGCCUACACAACCACCUUGUGGAUACUUCCAUUUAUUUUUUUCAAAUAUAAAUUUUUAAUGCGUGCAUUGCAUAUGGUGCCUAUCCUUCCCUUUUACAUCAGAUUCUUGGUGGGUCAGGGCUGCUUUGAAUGCAUAAAAUAGUUUGUCCAUUAAUGGAAAGGGCAAUGAAAAGAGGUCACCACUGUUUGUAUUAUGUGUGUGUAAACCCUGCAUUAGAGAGAUCAAUCAUACUGUGGGGGAAAAACACGAGUAAAGGGAACAUCUUUAAAAAGAAAAUAGUUAGUUAACAAUCUUGCGUAUUCCCAUAUGGGUUUGUGUUGAUGGUUAUGCAUUAACAAGGACUAUCUCCCUACCAUCUUUAAUAUUUCUUCCUGCUUGAUUCCAGCAGAGAACUCCCAAUGCCUGUUUAAGCAGUCUGCUGCCAUGUAAAUGAUUGGGAUGCCCUAAAUUCAGUAUGACUUCACUGUCAGGUAGGAGGAGGGGGAAGUUGGUGAUGACAGGGGAAACCCUGUUUGAAUGCACAAAAAAAGGUGAAAAGAAUUGCUGUACUCCCCAGAAUGAGACUGGUAGAAUUUUUCCCUAGUAUUAAGAUCCUUCCAUGACUCAUGCCAUGUAAGACGACAUCCAGUUUGUGCAAACUCAGUUUGAAGAUUCCUGUGAUUCAUUUGAGUUGGAACAUUUAAAGAAAAUAUUCAGGAAACAAAUGAACAGAUUCAAAAACAGUGCCUAGAAGAGCUUCUUCGACUAUUGGGGAAUUUUCUCUCGGUUUUAGUUCUAUUCAUUUCAGUAAUCAGUACAUCCUGCUACAUUUGGAAGGUGCUGCCUUUGCUUCUGCUAUUUUGAAAUCUGUAGACAUGGCUGAUUUUUCCUAGCAAGUUGUUUAUUGUACUUCAGCUGUAAAAUAUGUUUAACUAGAUGUACAUUGGUACCGAUAUAAAUUCAUGUUAUGCAGGGAGGUAUAUUUUUGAAUACGCACAUAAAUACGGAUAUAUAUGCAUUAUAUUAUUUUAAUUUAUAACACAGAUUACAUUUUGAAUGCAGUUGCUUUGUGGCAUUUCAAAUGUCAGGUGAAAAGAUAUCGUUUUUAUAGCCCUAUAGAGUGCUUUGGCUAAGAGCAGCGUCAAAUGGAUAGAAAACAGACUAAAAGAUCAUGAAGCAAGAUUAAUGAACAGUGUAUUUAGAGGGCCAGUAUGACUGUAUGGUGUGCGUGUAAAAGGCACCCUGGAAGCCCUGUGAUUUAGAACUAGGUUUGAUCAAUCACAAGUUCCUCCACUGUCUAGGGGCAGUCCUGCCUUGGGAGGUGGACUGGAAAUUGCAAUAGGACUUAUUUCAUCUCUGACUUGCGUGAAGAAAAUGGAGAAGUGUGGUAUGUAAAUAAGAACGUACUUUGUUCAGAGCCCAUCCCCAGUGGACGGAGCUUUGCAUCCCAGCGCACUACCAGGAGUAAGAGAUCAGAACGAGGUAACUUGCCUCCAACGUUAUUUCUAGGAAGGACUAGUCUGAGAUGACUGCUGCGAGGAACACAACCUGUUACACGCUGACAUUUUGCUGUUCGGUGUUAUCUCGGUUUGUCAUAACCCAUGAGACUGCAGAAGUGAAGCGUCCUACGUUCCGUCUUCUCGGUAAUUUUGCAGCCUCAGUAAAAGCCGUGCGUUUAGCCGUCAGAGUGGAGGGAGUCACCGUGUGUACCUUCCGUUGGUGGAGAAGAAAUAAAAGUAGCUUUAUUCAAAAGCCUCUAAAUCUCCCCAUUACCAGUGAGGAGCAGCACCACAACAUUUCAGCUGUACUGUGGAGGGAUUUGUAUAUUCAACCAACAAAUUAUUCUACUGUGACUGCCUCACCUGCUUUUCUUCAUUUCUGCGCUUUUAUUUUAUAUGUGUGUUUGUUGUUCCUCUGUUUCUUGUUUCAAGCCUUUAUUUUAUUUGUGCAUUUUGACGUCCUUGUAGUCUGCUUUUUCCAUAUUCCCUCCCUGAUCCUUUACUUGUAAUUGAGAGUAUAUAGCCUCAGCAAGCAGUGAAGCAGUGUGCAAAGGCCGCCAUGCAGGAAAAGUUGAAGACAUUUGCUGAACUAAUAAUGCGCAGGGGACUUGGAAAAUAACAAUAAAGCAUGUAAACAACCACCCAGGAUAAAAAACAUGACCAGCUGAAUUCUGCUUCUGUGUAAGGCACAUCAGCGAUUAUGCAUUUUUAACACAAGCUCUGAAUAAGUUAUGUGUCGUAUUUUACCAAGAAAGCGAGAGGCCAUUUGCUUUGAACUUUUGGGGGUGAAAACAUGCUCAUUAAAGUGAACUGCUGUGCAGGAGCAGCCCAGGGUCGUUAGUGUUGUUUACCUUUAAUAAGAUGCCAGGAGUGAUCCCAGUAUUUAUAUUAGUCCGAUGGACUUCAGUACAAGGUAGAUGGAUGGAAGCGGCAACUAUGACAAGAAUUAUAAUGCAACUAUAUGAACAGCCUCUGUCUGGGGCAAAUGGACAUAGCUUAUGAAAAUCAUGCCCCUCUAAUCUGCUAGAAAGAAGCAAACCCCCACAAAUUUGUCAUUGCGCAGAAUAGGAAAGAAAAGUUCUUGUUUUUUUAAAAGAAGAGGCAAGGGGGGAGGGAAUUUGAAUUGCACAAAUGACACCGCUUCAUCUGGACUGCUGCUUUUCAUCCUGGCCACCUUGUCUUGAAAAAUUCAGAGCAGAAAUAAUGCUACAAGAAAAAUGGUAGGAGAUGUGCAAUUUCAUGAGAGGAGACUGAAGAAUUUGGGACUGUUGACUUCAGAGACCAGACAUCAUGGAGGCCUAUAAUGUAAUCAGAGGUAUAAAGCUGAGACCUUUGUUACAGUGAAGAAAAAAAAAAAAGAGGUAUUUUGUGAAAUUGCAGGACAAUAAUUUGAAAAUUGACUAGGGGAAUUGUUACUUGUAUCCCAUAAGUAUUGCCUGCAGUGUAUAAGCGAGUCCAAAAAAAGUAUUAGAGUUAAGGAGAGGGUGAGGCAUUUCCUGAGAUAAUGAGAUAAUCUGUUCAGUUCAAAGGCUUUGCCCGACCAAGGCUGGUGGCUGGUGCCCGACAUGCAGUGGAGUGCAGCAUGUCUCCGAGUCGUAUUUCCAUGCUUCGACAUUGCACCAGUCUUGACAUCACCAUGUGUGGGUCCAGUCUCCGAGAUGGCUGCGUGACUUCUGUUGGAAGUCGGGGGCCCGUCCACCCAAGUUUCAUGGCACACCCAACACCAUGUUUUAAAUCUGUUGAAGUUGGAAGACAAUUGAAGGGAAGCAGCCCAAGUCUUUCCCUUCCCAUCUGAUUUGCUGUUUGCAUGAGAGUCCAGCAGCUGUUUUUCUGAGAUUCUUUUUCAACAACGGCCUUCAUAAUGGCGAAGAAUAAAUUAUGGGUCACACCCAGAAUGGCAUAGAGGCAAAAUUGGACUUAAUGUUGAAGAGCGCCUAUUCUUGCAACUUUUUAUUUUCUAGGGCAUGGCAUUGUAAACUCCUUAGAGGGCUGAUAGCUGCAUUGUUCUUUAAAAAGAACUGCUUUAGUCUAGUAAAACAUCAGAUGAAAAGGUUCCCUCUUUUCUUAUCUGCUUCUAAUUUAAUUCAUUGUUUUCUGUUCCUUUCAUUCCAUGAGGAGCAGCUUUUGCCAGUGACAGAUAUUCUAUUGUGACUGAAAUAUGCAUUUUGUAAGUCGUAACUUUACUUGGUAUUUAAAUAAACUGUGUAUGUACAGUGUGUGAGAUUUAUGCAGAACACAGCUGGAGGUAUCCUGCUCAGAAUUCCUAUGGUUUAAAAUGUCUCUUUUCAAGUUUGAAAAUGUGUUAUGAAGUAGACACCAUUAUGAUAAUUGGAAGUUCGGCUUCUCUGUCUUGCUCUAUUAUUAUUUUUUGAAUACAAUUAACACAUCACACACA